CAGUAGCCGCGGGAACACGGAGGGGGCUAGCGUUGUUCGGAAUUACUGGGCGUAAAGCGCACGUAGGCGGCUUGGUAAGUUAGAGGUGAAAGCCCGGAGCUCAACUCCGGAAUUGCCUUUAAGACUGCCGAGCUAGCAGGUGAGAGAGGUAAGUGGAAUUCCGAGUGUAGAGGUGAAAUUCGUAGAUAUUCGGAAGAACACCAGUGGCGAAGGCGGCUUACUGGCUCAUACUGGACGCUGAGGUGCGAAAGCGUGGGGAGCAAACAGGAUUAGAUACCCGCGUAGUCCCUGUCUCUUAUAC
rnacentral:rRNA from 1 species